rnacentral:rRNA from 1 species
AGCGAACGCUGGCGGCAGGCCUAACACAUGCAAGUCGAACGGAUCCUUCGGGAUUAGUGGCGGACGGGUGAGUAACACGUGGGAACGUGCCCUUUGGUUCGGAACAACUCAGGGAAACUUGAGCUAAUACCGGAUGGGCCCUUCGGGGGAAAGAUUUAUCGCCAUUGGAGCGGCCCGCGUCUGAUUAGCUAGUUGGCGAGGUAAAGGCUCACCAAGGCGACGACCAGUAGCUGGUCUGAGAGGAUGAUCAGCCACAUUGGGACUGAGACACGGCCCAAGCUCCUACGGGAGGCGGCAGUGGGGAAUCUUGCGCAAUGGGCGAAAGGCUGACGCAGACAUGCCGCGUGAAUGAUGAAGGUCUUAGGAUUGUAAAAUUCUUUCACCGGGGACGAUAAUGACGGUACCCGGAGAAGAAGCCCCGGCUAACUUCGUGCCAGCAGCCGCGGUAA